UACGUAGGGUGCAAGCGUUGUCCGGAUUUAUUGGGCGUAAAGAGCUCGUAGGCGGUCUGUCGCGUCGGUCGUGAAAACUUGGGGCUUAACCCUGAGCUUGCGGUCGAUACGGGCAUGACUGGAGUUCGGUAGGGGAGACUGGAAUUCCUGGUGUAGCGGUGAAAUGCGCAGAUAUCAGGAGGAACACCGGUGGCGAAGGCGGGUCUCUGGGCCGUUACUGACGCUGAGGAGCGAAAGCGUGGGGAGCGAACAGG
rnacentral:rRNA from 1 species